rnacentral:rRNA from 1 species
CCUACGGGGGGCAGCAGUGAGGAAUAUUGGUCAAUGGUCGGGAGCCUGAACCAGCCAAGCCGCGUGAGGGAGGAAGGUACAGCGUAUCGUAAACCUCUUUUGUCAGGGAACAAAGACUGGGACGCGUCCCCGGAUGAGUGUACCUGAAGAAAAAGCAUCGGCUAACUCCGUGCCAGCAGCCGCGGUAAUACGGAGGAUGCGAGCGUUAUCCGGAUUUAUUGGGGUUAAAGGGUGCGGAGGCGGGCUUUUAAGUCAGCGGUGAAAGGCCGGGGCUCAACCCCCGACUGGCCGUUGAAACUGGCAGGCUCGAGUAGGUGAGAGGGAGGCGGAAUGCGCGGUGUAGCGGUGAAAUGCAUAGAUAUCGCGCAGAACCCCGAUUGCGAAGGCAGCAUGCCGGCUCCACACUGACGCUGAGGCACGAAAGCGUGGGUAUCGAACAGGAUUAGAUACCCCAGUAGUC